CUUGUCUUCUCCUUCUAUUUUCCUCUACGUGUAACCAUUACCUGAAUUAUUACCAGGUAGAAAUUGUGAGAAUUCCCAGAGGUGAAGGAUAGACUGGUAUUUGUGUUUCCUCAGCUCCUCGGUAAGACUCUAGGGCAUUCGAAUCACUGACCUUCUUUUUCAGCUUCAGAGAUGUUUGACUCAUUUCUGCAAUCAGGGAAAUCCUUUUGUUGUGAUGCAGGUUUUCAUCCCCGCCCCCAUUUCCUGUUCUUCCCUGCUCAGCCUAGCUCUCCCUUUAGAACGUCAGAUUGUGACAUCACCUGCGAUUCCAUAGUGACAAAUGGACUCUGUGCAGGGUCCCUAUGCUUUUGCCUUUUUCAUAGAGCAAUAGUGUCUUCCUAUUUGAGCACAUUCUCAUAACAAUUAUCUGUGUUUUUAGGAAUUAAUCUCUAAACAGUGUUCAGAUGUUUAAUAUGUAACUGUGUAUUUUGCCACUUCCUUCUUUCUAAGUCUUUGGGAAUAUUACUGCCACUCAUCAUUCCAGCUCCACUUGGGGCUAUGCAUUUUCAGGUACUGCCAGCGUGAAAGGCAGUCUCACAGUGGACUCAGCCAUGUAUCACCGUUCAGCCUUCUGCACAUCUGAAAACUACUUGUGACAGCUGUUUUUGCUCUCGGUGUGGAGUUUAGACCUGAAUUUCCCUUUAUGUGGAAACUUGCUUUCUCAUUGCUGAAGCCUGUUGAGGAAGACCCUGUGGAAGUUCUCUCCUGGGUCUGAACACAAGCCAGUGUUGGUUGCAUCGGCCUUCCUGGUGCUUGGCUCCUUCUCAGCCUUGCUUCCAACUCUCGCUUUCUGAGUCCAACAACGUGCUGCGUUUUAUUGUUCCGAUUUUCUCUUAACCCAAACUGCAGGUGAGAGACAUGUGCCAUACCCACCUGAACUGUUGAAACCUUCAGGGACUGAGGCAGAUUUCUGGCAUCCUUAUUCAUGGGAGUUGUUGAUAACCAAGUUUGAGUAUCGAAAGCUCUCCAAAGAAGAACUUACUUCUUACCCAGCAAACAUUCAGAGUCCGGGUUAGAUUGCCCAAGUUGGCAUAGACAGCAAAGGGGCUGGCUGAGAAGGCAGCAUUGGAGACACAGUUAGAAAUAAAAACCGGAGAGCUCUGAGCCCGCUGCGGGUCUCCUGAGACAAACAUGUGAAGCCCCUCCUUGGCCUGCUCUGCCGCAAGUCAUUAAUCAACUUCUUACACCUCAUCUGAAGGAGGGACAGCUCCGUUUCCUCUCCCUGCCAGCCAGCUGGACGAGCACUAGGGAGGACCGGCUCAGAGCCCUGGGUGGCACAUCCUCAGCCGCGACGGAGCGCAGUGUGUUUGGGUGUCGCCCUUGGGGCUACUCGUGAGGUGACCACUUGUGUACGGUGCCUGAUGCUUCUGUUGCUGGAGCAAUGGAGAAAGAUACCACUUGGCCACAGGCCUUCAAGAUUUUAUCAGUUUUCUCCGAGGACUCACAUGUCAGAGGCACUGUGGGGACCACGGGACAUUCCCUGGUAGGUGGCUUUUAAGUAAAGAAAGAGACAAAAAAACCCCACAAAGAGCAGCUUGAGACAUUGUACACAGGCUCAGUUGGUCACACUGUGUUCGAGUCGUUACCCUUAUUUCUGCACAGUGACUUCUUUCAUCUCCAGACACCAGGAUCUCCAAGGUGCCUUGCAGCCUCCCGGCGACAGGCAGCAUCACACCCCACACUCUUUGUAUAAUGCUCCUACUUCCUAAGCGUCUCUGCAGGUUGCAUAACUCCACACCUGUUGCCUUGUUUAUAAAGAAUAAUAACAUGACGUCACAGGAGAAAGGACAGGGCUGUGAAGGGCCAGGAGCAAUGCCAUGCACAAACGGGCUCUCACUAGCUUCCCCUCUCCCAGGUCCCCUUCUUCCGGACUCAGCUGCAUAAACACAUGUCAGAGCUGUGGGUAGGCUUUCCCCGAACCCCACGACCACCACGACCACCGAGGCAGGGCCCUAGCCUGAACUUAGUGCUCCAGGACAAGAGACUGAGACUUGUCUUUUUAUUUUCAUUUUCCCUAUUUUUGGGGGGUCUGUGUGAUUUCUUGGCAACAGCCCCACUGGUGGUGGGAAAAUAUGUGCUUGCUAUUUGGGGAGCAGCAGCUUGCUCCUGGAGCCCCUCCCCUCUGAUACUCCUGCAACGCAGAGCUCCGUGCUGCACGCCCUCCCCUCAGAGUGGCGUCCAGAGUCUGUCUUGCUGUCAGUGAAACUGGCCUCAGAAGCAUCUUUCAGCUGCUUCAAAUUUGGCUUGGGAUUGACAGUCUCCCCUUCUCUUCUGGUUAGUCUCGUGGUGGCCUGCUUCCUCCUCCCCAGGAAAGCAGAAGAGCUUGGCCCACUCCUGCACUUCUGCUCCUCCGGGUGGUUCUGCCGUCUGCCCAGUGGCUCAGGUAUGAGCUCUCAUGCUAUCCUCCCUGCGGAAUCCUCCUCCUUGUCACAUUGUGUCACCCCUUGGCAUCUUUUGGCUUGAUUUCCUUCACGCUCUCCAUCCGGUGCUGUGCUGUGCUCCCUUCUAUGGCUCCUCAUGCGUUCUCCAUUCUAAGCAGCAAACAUACUGAAUUAUAUUCAUUUGUUCUCCUAUUUUUCCCACGGGUCUUUGAAAGUUCUGGAGGACAGGGCCUACGCAUUAUGUGUUUCUUUAUCCUCGGUGCCUAGUACACUGUUUCAAGUAAAUGUUUCCUACAGAAAUAAAAGAAUAAGUGCAAAAUAUUGCGCCUGAAAUUGGAAAGACUUCUGUGCCAGCGAGCAGAUCAGGGUUUGAGGAGGAGCUUUCUAAAGCUGCACAUUGCACUUGCAGUCCUAGCUCGUCCACCUCGGGCCCCAGUGAGAUGGUGCCCACUGAUUGUUAUCAACCCUCAGUGACUGGUUGGCCCACUCUGUGGCACAGCAGAGAGUGUUCCAAGGAAGCAGGCUGCCCUGGUGGCUGCUCCCUGGCAACUUGACACGUUCCAAGCUGGGCUUCUGUGUUUCCACACCCUCUGUUCCGCACUCCAGAGAGAUCUGUGAGCGUCACACAGCGCCUCUCCCGGCUCCUCUACGCUGCCAUCCAGUUGGUCACUAAGUUUGCCACCACAUUUUCACAACAUCUCGUGAGUUGGUCUGCUCCUCCACAGUGCUGCUCAGUUCCUGCCCUCAUCAGUACUGAGCCGAACUUCUGCACUAGGCGGACCAACUUCCCCAGCAGAGCCAAGCAGCACUGCAGAGAGCAGAGUUCUCUGCUGACACGUGCUUCACGGAGCUCUGUGGGUGUCCUUCUCUGCCUGCUAGACUGUGAGCCAGUGGGUGCAGGAAGUAUGUGCACUCCAUAAAUGUAUGAUUCAGUUUCCGUUAAUGCAAUUUGAAACUUAUGGACAG
ensembl:lncRNA